rnacentral:rRNA from 1 species
CCUACGGGAGGCAGCAGUGGGGAAUCUUGCGCAAUGGGCGAAAGCCUGACGCAGCCAUGCCGCGUGAAUGAUGAAGGUCUUAGGAUUGUAAAAUUCUUUCACCGGGGACGAUAAUGACGGUACCCGGAGAAGAAGCCCCGGCUAACUUCGUGCCAGCAGCCGCGGUAAUACGAAGGGGGCUAGCGUUGCUCGGAAUUACUGGGCGUAAAGGGCGCGUAGGCGGACAUUUAAGUCAGGGGUGAAAUCCCAGAGCUAAACGCUGGAACUGCCUUUGAUACUGGGGGUCUUGAGGGUGAGAGAGGUAUGUGGACCCCGGGGUGUAGAGGUAAAAUUCGUAGAUAUUCGGAAGAACACAGGGGGCGAGGGCGAAAUACUGGCUCAUUACUGACGCUGGGGCGCGAAAGCGGGGGGAGAAAACAGGAUAAGAUCCCCU